rnacentral:sRNA from 1 species
UUUUAAUUAAAAAGACUAUAAACACUAUCCUAUAUAACACCUUAUUCACUAUACUAUUGCUAUUCACAUCAUACACUAUUUUCCUUUACGUUCAAAAUACUCUCUUAUCAUCUUACAAAAAAAAACACUCAUCUAUCAAGUACGCAUUCACCGAUCCAUCUCUUUGUACAAGGUUCUUCUCUAUCAAAUACGCAUUCACCGAUCCAUCUCUUUGCAUCAGUAAACUUCUUUUUUAAUACAUAUAUAUAUAUAUAUA